rnacentral:ncRNA from 2 species
AGAGGGAAUCCGGUGUGACUCCGGAACUGUCCCGCAGCGGUAUGUCGAAACGACCGCCGUCACAUGCACUGGGCCCCGCGCCCGGGAAGCGACGGCCAGUAGGUUCCGCGGAGUGAUCCGCGCCUGUCGACGAGUCCGAAGACCU